CCUACGGGGGGCAGCAGUGGGGGAUAUUGCACAAUGGGGGAAACCCUGAUGCAGCGACGCCGCGUGUGGGAAGACGGUCCUCUGGGUUGUAAACCACUGUCCCCAGGGACGAAGAUGACGGUACCUGGGGAGGAAGCUCCGGCAAACUACGUGCCAGCAGCCGCGGUAAUACGUAGGGAGCGGGCGUUGUCCGGAAUUACUGGGUGUAAGGGGAGCGUAGGCGGGGAUGCAAGUUGGGUGGCAAAACUACCGGCUCAACUGGGAGUCGCACUCAAAACUGCAGCUCUUGAGUGAAGUAGAGGCAGGCGGAAUUCGUAGUGUAGCGGUGAAAUGCGUAGAUAUUAGGAGGAACACUAGUGGCGAAGGCAGCCUGCUGGGCUUUUACUGACGCUGAGGCUCGAAAGUAUGGGGAGCAAACAGGAUUAGAUACCCGGGUAGUC
rnacentral:rRNA from 1 species